UUGUGUGUAUUAUUCGUUGCCAAAUCUGUUUAAAAUUUUAAAUCUAUUUUGUUUUUAUAAACAAAAUAGAUUGGUAACUCGAUACCUAUUUUACAAUUAUUAAAAUCCAAACA